rnacentral:misc_RNA from 1 species
UUUUUUUUUUCCCCAGAAAAUAAGCCCAUGUUUCUUUUUUUAAAACUAUAUUUAUAUAUUGGAUGCCUGUUCUGGUUGCACUAUUAGUGUGACAGUAAAUUCUUCUUCAAGUGUAAUUUCUUGUUUGCUUUGCUGGAAUUUAAAUGUUUGAUAAGUUUACUUUUUGUGACUCCUUUGGAAUUUAAACAGUUUACUUUGCUGGAAUUUCUUCUUCAAGUGGGCUGCAGUCUCAAAUCUCAAUACAUCUUUGUGACUAGUUCCCUUUCUCUUCUUUAAAGAGAGUUUUGUUACAAUGAUUCCAAACUUACAUAGCUGUAUAAGCUAUUCUAUAUUCUUUCUUUCAAGCGUCAGCCUUUCAUUGUUUCACCUUAGAUUUGUAUUUGCUGACUGCUUUUAUGUAACAUCAUCGUGCCAUUUCUCUAUGCAUGAUCAGUAGUGCAUAUAUAUUUAUUAAAUAGAGGAAUUAUUAGUUAAUAAUUAGCAUUAAGUAAAGUUGUUGGUAGUGAUUUCUGCCAAAGUUGACUAGAACACACUUAUUUUAGAUUACAAACACUAGCUUUUUUUGUUAUUUUUUUUAUAUAAAUGUAUAUAAAACAAAUCACAAGGUUCUUUGAGGGAUUAGAUUCUUAUAUCAUUGAGCUCAUAAAAAUACAAUCACACUAUUAAUUCAUGACUCUCCUUAUAUCAAAUAUGCAUUCCUUGAGUUUGAAGGACAAGAGUAGUAAAUUAUGUAAGAUUCAACUCAUUUAUGACUUCGUUUUUUUUUUAUUGUUUUAUUGGCUGUGUAAGAAUAAAAUCCUUUUGGUAAUUGUGGAUAUGGCUUAUUCAAAAUUUAUUUGUGAUAAUCACAUCAUUAUAACUAGAUUUUGAAUGUUGAAUGAACCAUUAUUAUAUAAUUUUCUCUUGUUGUAUUUGUAUAUGGAUAGAAUAUUUAGAUAGGCAAGAAUAAAUAACUUGACUAAUUCUUGUUGUAUGUGUUGGUACUCUUGAAGGUAGUGAUAAAGGUGUUCUUUAUAGUAAUGUAGAGCUAUGUGGGCUUGAUCCUCUUCCUUAGGAGGUGCAUUGGCAGACUUCCGGUGCAGUGCAAAGUAGGUAGCUAUAAAAAAAUGUGUUAUAGUUACUUGGUACCGUGUGUGUAUAUAAAUUUUUCUAAAUUAAAUAUGCAUUAUUUGACUUGCGAUAUGUAUUUUGGUGUAUUUUGAUUGUCUUUAACUUGUAUCGGUGAUCUAACUUGUUAGGGCCUUAACAUAGGUUGAUUUAUUGACUUACUUAUUUUUAAUUAAGUGUUUGAGAAAUUUAUGAAUUGCCAUGGAGAAACUGUCAGUUUGUGUCUAAGUUAUACAUGUCUUAGUUAGGGAGAAUGGGUGUGACAGAUACUUUCUUAAUUAGUUUUGGGGGUAGUUAGACCCCAUUACUGAAUAGCUAAUUCACGGUUAAAGAUAUUAAAUGUAGAUAGUAGUCGAAUUGUUGUAGGAAUAGCAAUUUCUUAAUAUGGAUACUGGCGGUUUAUUUUUCCUUCAUUUAGUAGAAAAUAGAAAUGAGCAGGAAACUUUUCUUACCUACAAAAAAUAUGUAGCAUUGGAUGUUUGGAAGCACUAAGGAGUUAUGAUAAAUUAUAAGACACUAUUUGCUAGCUUUGUGUAAGGACAUGCCAUUUCUUAUUCACCUUUUGUUGAUCCUAUGUACCACUACCAUCAUCCCUUAUUUCCACAAAGCUAGGGCCUCUGAGGCUAUUCCAGUUCUAGUUGAAAUUCUUGAGCUACAUGCUCUCUCUCUACUAGAAUUUAACUUCACCAAGAAAGGUUGCCAUUUUGUUUAUUCAUGUAUAUUUUGUCAAAAAUAAUCAUCAAUGUCAAAGGAUUGCAUUUUUCUCCAAGGUUCUGAACAAGGAAACAUAAUUACAUUAGUGAAGAAAGCUACUAAAACCAUGUAAUUCACUAUACUUAAAGACUGAUAUAUCUUCAAGAUUUCUAACCAAUUUGCUUCUCAUUUAGCGACCUGACACCUGAGUGGUGGAAGCAGUGGCAUUGGAUGAAGAGGAUGCGGUAGAUGUGGAUUUGUCCCCUUGGAUAACCACCUUUUCUUCAUGAUCAAUAAAGGGAGGCCUAGUUGGUGGAGUAUGCUCUAGUGAAUUCUUACUUUUGAGCAGAACAACCACAUCAGACAUUGUUGGCCUUAAAGCAGGUGAAGAUUGAGUGCACAUCAAGGCAAUCUCUAUGAUUCUCUUCACUUCUUGUGAGUCAUAUUCAUUCGGGUCUAAGCUUUCAUCCACCAGUUCCAGGAGGUAAUCAGAGUCAGGAUCAAAUAUUGUCUCAUUGUUCUUUCUGCCACUGAUGAUUUCAAGGACAACUACCCCAUAGCUAUAGGACCUCGCAAUUCAGUUGCUCCUAAUAUGUCACCUGCUACACAGGAAGUUCUUUCUUUUCAAGGAGCGAAUUGGUAAAUAAAGGUAAGAGAUUCAACUUCAACACUUACUAUUUGGCAAUUUAUAAAAGAAAAGUAACAGUAGGGAAAGAGGACAGUGGUAAUACAAAUGUUUUAAAAUAAACGAUUCAACUUUUAAAAGAUUGAGGAAUCUUCUUUGAGUAAAUAGCUGCAGUAAAGUAUUUGUCUCAAAAUGCAGGCAGUCAAGGUUCUAAUCUCACUUCAAUUUAACAUGUUACUUCAAUACUCUUUUAAUGAUUUGAGGAAGCAUGAAUGGGCAGAGUUUUUUAGAGAAUGUGCUUUGGAAAUGAUAUUUUUGUUGUUUGCAUUACCUCUAUUAGCUGUCUUCCUGCUUGAAAGCUUAAACCAAACAAUUAACACAACAAUAAGCAAAAGAAGCCCUACACCCCCAGCCACUCCUCCAAUAAGAGCUUUCUUUUUACCAGAACUUCCUGUGAGAACAUAGCAAAAUCAAUAUGCAAUGGAAACUUUCCAAGCUCGAAAAUAGACAAGAAAACUCGGGAAGGAAGAUUGAGUUCUUGUUGUUAAAGAGAAUUUCACCUGUUUUCAAGAAGGGUUCAAGAUUAGUAGUCUGGUUAUCGGUGAAGAAUGGUUUAUCGGAAUACCUCAUGAAACACCCAGAAUCGACCGCCCUACCAUCUGCAGUGGGAGGGCAUCUCUGAAGGUUGGUAAAUGCUACUUGCAUGCAAGCUAAGCAGCCGGUUGAAUCAAUGGUUUGAACACAUUGUGCAAUCCCGUAUACUGAUUCAUUAGCACCCGUAACUUUCUUCUUACUGGCAGUAAAGAAACCAUUUAUCCUUGGUAUCGCAAUUUGAAGUUCAUAUAGCAAUCCUUGCACUACUGAUUGGAAAGCAGUAACUGGUGUUGAUGUAUUCCGAUUCCCACAAAACUCGCCUCUGCCAUCCCGAGUGGUUUCUCCAUAGAAGUCGCUUCUCUCAUACCUGUAAAAGGUGGAGAACAUUAACAUCUGUAAUAGAAAUGGACUAAAAGGUUAUUUUUAUUUUAUUUCUUGAUUGUUUUGAAAAGAAAAGCACAGCAAGCCAAUGAGUAAUUGAUGACUGAAGCAAAUAAUAUUGGCAAGGGACCUCAAAUCUCGACAUAAACAGCAAGGGAAUACACGCACGCAGAAUGGGAAGACGACGUCGUUUUUCUGUCUAGCUUUUGAGGAAGGCAGGCCAGACUUGUAGGAAGAAAGCACAUCAGCAACGGUAUUAGAACUUUUAGAAGAAACCGGUCAGGCUUGAAAGGCCUAAUAGCCCUUUGAACAAUUUUUCUCUAACAAAACCCAUUUGUCCAGCCAACCAAAGCGCAAAGGAUAAAAUUACCCCUCAAAUUUGCACUCUAGAUCUACCGCGCAUCUCGUAAUAUGCAAAUAUUGCAUUACCAAGCCCGGAAGGGCAGGAUUACGGAGUUGCCCAACCCAGUCUCAACAGAAACGCAGCCCAGCUAAACGCCCAGCCCCUAACAUCGAAACCACCUUCCGCCCUUAGGCACGCAGGAAGCCGAAAUCACCGUGGCCACAAACUAGCGUCAUCAGUGAUCUUGAAGUACACAUGCAAACCAACUACCUUGGGACUCUAUCGGAGCAUCGCCAAAUCUCCCAUCGCCAGAGAUUGGUGUAGAGAUUGAGGGAAUCGAGAUAGAAGCAAACAUGACUAGACACAACGCCAAAAGGAACGCAGACUGUGACACAAAAUUUUCUUUCCUUCUUUCUUUCUUUAUUUAUUUUUUGAUAAAAUUGUUAAAAUGGAAAAAAUUUUUUAUGGGUAAAUUUGAAACAAUAUAUAUUUAGAUUUUAACGAGUCAAGAACCGUUUAAUUUGUUCUUCCAGCUAUAAUUUGCUGCUUGCUUUGGAUGGAAAGGCUUACUUAGGUGUAACGGUGCACAUCGGAUUAAAGGGCUUUAAGUGGGUGUUUGGAUUAACUUUUUAAUUCUGUAAUAGUUAUCAUAUGUAUUCAAUGGCUAAACAAAACAAGCCUCAAGAAUGAAGAUCACAGAAGAGGAAGAAGCUGAAACUUGGCAGGAAAGUUAGUUUAGCUGUUACUUAGCUAUCAUUAUAUG